UACGAAGGGUCCAAGCGUUGUUCGGAUUUAUUGGGCGUAAAGCGCGCGCAGGCGGCUUUACAAGUCAGAUGUGAAAUCUCGAGGCUCAACCUCGAAACUGCGUCUGAAACUGUAGAGCUAGAGUGUCGGAGGGGGCAGGGGAAUUUCACGUGUAGGGGUAAAAUCCGUAGAGAUGUGAAGGAACACCGGAGGCGAAGGCGCCUGCCUGGACGACAACUGACGCUGAGGCGCGAAAGCGUGGGGAGCAAACAGG
rnacentral:rRNA from 1 species